GGAUUAGGCAUGCAAGUCGAACGAGAGCCCGUUUCGAUGGGCGAAAGUGGCGAAAGGGUGAGUAAUGCAUAGGCAACCCACCUUCGACUCCGGGAUAACUGGGAGAAAUCACAGCUAAUACCGGAUAGGUUCGCAGGGACUUAUGUUCAAGCGAGUAAAGGAGGCCUCUCAACGAUGCUUCUGGUUGAAGACGGGUCUAUGUCCUAUCAGCUUGUUGGUGAGGUAACGGCUCACCAAGGCGAUAACGGGUAGCCGACCUGAGAGGGUGACCGGCCACACUGGGACUGAGACACUGCCCAGACUCCUACGGGAGGCUGCAGUCGAGAAUCUUCCGCAAUGGGGGCAACCCUGACGGAGCGACGCCGCGUGCGGGAUGAAGGCCUUCGGGUUGUAAACCGCUGUCACAGGUUAAGAAUCGGUCUAGCGUCAAUAGCGCUAGGCCCUGACAAAGGCCUGAGAGGAAGCCACGGCUAACUUCGUGCCAGCAGCCGCGGUAAGACGAAGGUGGCAACCGUUGUUCGGAAUCACUGGGCAUAAAGCGCACGUAGGCGGGAGCGCAAGUCGGGUGUGAAAUCCCUCGGCCCAACCGAGGAACUGCGCCCGAAACUGCAUUUCUUGAGGACAGCAGGGGAGCAUGGAAUUCCUGGUGGAGCGGUGAAAUGCGUUGAUAUCAGAGGAACACCGGCGGCGACGCGAUGCUCUGGGCUGUUUCUGACGCUGAGUGCGAAAGCCAGGGGAGCAAACGGGAUUAGAUACCCCGGUAGUCCUGGCCGUAAACGAUGGGCACUAAGUAGAGGGGUUUU
rnacentral:rRNA from 1 species